GGGAUUACAGACAUGUACAAAACAGGCUUUGGAGAGAGAUAACCUUAGACCUCUGGCAUGGGCAUGUAGGAAGAUAUCACAACCUCAGAGCAAAAAAGACAGGAGGUCCGAGGAAGAUGGGAUGGUAACAUUUUACUGCCAAAGAGCAAGACUGGGGCAUCCACACCGUGGUCUCACUGCUGAGACAUGGGCAGCAGAAACUACUUAGACUACAGUAGAUACUUGCAAAAUCAAUAAAUCUGAAGACAAUUUUAAAAAGUAUUGCUAAGAAAAGGUUUGGUUAAAAGAAGAACUUAAGCUGGAUAUUGUGGCAGGCAGCCACUAUUCCGGCACUAAGGAAGCAGAAACAGAAGGAUCUCAAGUUCAAAGCUGUCCUUGGCUACAGAAUGAAUUAAGAUGUAACUGAGAUACAGAAGAACCUUUUGUAUGCUGAAGGAGAAAGAAGAGGAAGGAAGGAAAAAGGAAGAAACCACAACAAUUCAAAGAACUGGCUUUCUUUGCAACUCUACAAUCAAGCAUACUUCACUUCAUAAAGCAGAGGUGAUUGGGUUUUUGUUUUGUUUUGUUUUAAGACAGAAAAGGCUAAAGAAAGCAAGACAAAAGCGUAGCCACCAUUUCACAGUGGAGGGUCAGGACAACAGAAAAGAACAGACAGGACAAUGUCGGGUUACAAUGGAUACAUCUUGGGGAACUAGCCUGCCAGGGCAAUAUGGCUGCUUUUUCUCAGGUCAGAUAAAUAACUCAGUGGCAUUGAACAUUAGCAUGACUGACUCCAUUUUGAUCUCUUGGUGAACUGCUGGACCCAGUGACAUAGCUUAGUCCACUUAUUUACAGAAAUGAGUUUCAUUUUCUUUCUUUCAUUUUUUUUCUCCUUUGUAAUGUUGAGGAUGAACCCAGGGCCCGAAGCAUGCUGGGCAAGUGUUCUACCACUGAGCUACACCUCCAGCCCAGAGUCACAAUUCGUGCCUAUGACAUGCAUUUCUUCCCACAACAAACAAUUAAGAACGAGUUAAGAAGUAACCAGUCCCCAAAUGUACCAGGUAUACACCCACCACACAAAUCUGUGGUUCUUAGUUAUCUGAGGAAAAAGAAAAAAGAAAAGCUACCACACAUGGAGUGCACCAGGCAGAGCCACAACCUUCUUCUGUAUUUCUGCUCUGCUAAGGCUGUGUGGAUACAGAGCGGAGUGGUGGGGGAGGUGGUGUUUAACUACCACUCCUUCUGAGUCUUUUGAUACAUAAGGGACAGAGGUUUAGUAAAGGAUUAAACCACAUACGUGCAGGCAUGCACAGACAGAACGUGGGACAGGAAGAUGGUGAUUCUGAAGGAAGUUUCAAAUGAAAGCUAUUUCUGCCACCCAAAUCAAUCCUUCAGGCACCCGCCUGUACAGCUGCCUGAGUGAAUAUUUGCCUCCCUACUGGAUGAACCUUUAGAUCAGGGAGAAAACUGGACAGAGAGAAACCAGAGUUUGGUAGUAUUCCCUCAUGAAGAAAAGAUACUGCACACCCGUAAUUUUAGCACUUAGACUGAGGCAGAAGUUCAAGGUGAGCUUGGGCUAUAUAGGGAGUGUCUGGAUGAUGGUGGCGGUACCUGAGGCUGAGGCAAGAGCUCAAGGGCUAUGUAGGGAGUGUUUGCAUGGUAAUGGACUAUGGUUGGACAGGCAGUACAUUGCUGAGUAGACAGCCUCGCAGAAAUCUUUUCUGUAUAAGGUUGUGGUUUUGUAGAAGUUUAUGGUAUAUUGUUAGAGACUUAGGAUGAUAGUUAUGAAGCAGUCAGGUGUGACGACUGUCCCUUUGUGAACUGCUUUGUCAAGGUUUGUCAUAAGGAAUAUCACUUUAAAUUCUGACAACCUUUACAUAGUAUGUUGUCAUUUGUCUUUUUUUUUUUUAAUUGUGUUGGCUUUUGUAUUGGUACAAAAGUCAGAGUGGGCAAGUCUGAUGGUGGCAGCACAAACCAAGGAUACAAAUUUCAUGUAUCCACCCAGCCAUAGUCAUUCAUGAAAAAUAAAUGGCAAUUUCACUAAGGAAUGCUCUUGGUAAGAAACACCAACUAUUGAUGUUAUUAAACUUCAACCUGGGAGUCUUUUGAGGAUUUUAUGUAAAGAAUCAGGAAGUUCCCACAGCUCUGCUGCUGUCUGUGAAGGAAGCUCAGUGGCUAUUAAUAGGCAAAGCAUUUGUGUUGUUUUGCCUUGCCAGAUGAACCAGAUGCACUUUUCCACAGAAAACCAACUUUUCUUGAAAGAACCGACAGUGAUUACUCAGGCUUCAGUAUUUUGCAAAUAUUUUCUAAAAAUGAACAACUGAGCUGGCCCAGGGCUACACAUUGGCAAUCCCAGCCCUCAGGAGGAUGAUGCAAGGUGUAGGCAAGUCCAAGGCCUUGAACUUCGGCCACCAAAUCUGUCUCAAAAACAAAUAAAAAACACUAAAAAACAAAACUGUUGACUCUUGAUAUGCUGACUAGCUCUAUGUCAACUUGACACAAGCUAGAGUCAUCUGGGAAGAGGGGACCUCAGCUGAGAAAAUGGCCCCACCAGACUGUUCUGCAGGCGAGCCUGUGAUGCAUCUUCUUAAUUAGUGAUCGAUGUGGGAGUGCCCAGCCCAGCGCUGAUGGUGCAACUCUAUAGGCAGACAGGGUUAGAAGACAGGAUGGGCUGGCUCUGCAUACAAAGAACCAAGAAGCUGUGACCAACUAUAUGCCAACAGGGGAAAAUCGUGCCAGUGGAUCUGCCAGCAUAGGGCGCACAUCAGAUUUAGUCUCCAUGGAUAUCACUCUCUAACCAUAGAUCUGGCUGUCAGAGCUGGCUAUGGCGAUACGGAAUAGUUACAAGUCCCCUGGAAACCUGGACAUCAUCACCAGUAAGAGACACAGAAAGUCUAAACUAAAAGAUACCUGCUUGAAGAACAGAGGGCAGGAGCUGGUACACGAAAAUAGCCCCACGAAGCCCACGAUUCUGUUUUGGAGAAGACUAAAGGAAAACCUAAGGAGUGUGAUUUUGCCGGCUGAUGAUAGUUUACUUUUGGAAUUCUGGGGACUCUCCUCCUAGCAGCCUGGGAGCCAGUCUUCUCCUAGCAGCUUUCAGAUGAUUCAGAGCUCUCAGCUCCUCCUGGACUC